AUUCUGGCUCAGGAUAAACGCUGGCGGCGUGCCUAAUACAUGCAAGUCGAUCGGCAGACAGUGAGCUUGCUUAAUGUCUGCAGAGGCGAACGGGUGAGUAAUACAUAAGCAACCUGCCCACGAAGACUGGGAUAAUCCCUGGAAACGGGGACUAAUACCGGAUAGGUAACGAGAUCGCAUGAUCUUGUUAUUAAAGGUUCAAAACACUGGUGGAUGGGCUUAUGGCGCAUUAGCUAGUUGGUGAGGUAACGGCCCACCAAGGCGAUGAUGCGUAGCCGGCCUGAGAGGGUGAACGGCCACAUUGGGACUGAGACACGGCCCAAACUCCUACGGGAGGCAGCAGUGGGGAAUAUUGCACAAUGGGCGCAAGCCUGAUGCAGCAACGCCGCCGUGAGUGAAGAAGUAUUUCGGUAUGUAAAGCUCUAUCGGCAGGGAAGAAAGGCCCGCAAGGGAGAUGACGGUACCUGACUAAGAAGCCCCGGCUAACUACGUGCCAGCAGCCGC
rnacentral:rRNA from 1 species